rnacentral:rRNA from 1 species
GACGAACGCUGGCGGCGUGCUUAACACAUGCAAGUCGAACGGUGAACGAGGGAGCUUGCUCCCUCCGGAUCAGUGGCGAACGGGUGAGUAACACGUGAGCAAUCUGCCCCGAACUCUGGGAUAAGCGUUGGAAACGACGUCUAAUACCGGAUACGACGCGGGAGGGCAUCCUCUCCGCGUGGAAAGAACUUCGGUUCGGGAUGAGCUCGCGGCCUAUCAGCUUGUUGGUGAGGUAACGGCUCACCAAGGCGACGACGGGUAGCCGGCCUGAGAGGGUGACCGGCCACACUGGGACUGAGACACGGCCCAGACUCCUACGGGAGGCAGCAGUGGGGAAUAUUGCACAAUGGGCGCAAGCCGGAUGCAGCAACGCCGCGUGAGGGACGACGGCCUUCGGGUUGUAAACCUCUUUUAGCAGGGAAGAAGCGAAAGUGACGGUACCUGCAGAAAAAGCACCGGCUAACUACGUG